GAUCAAGUGAUGGGGCAAGAGUUGUUAUUGGUACUAUCAUGGGAGUUGUCUUUGGAUUUUUUAUCGGCAUGUCCUUUCCAUCUGUUUCUCUAAAUAAGCCAUCACUGAUAUACAUGGAUCCACCACAAGCAGAAGUCUUGAAGACAAUGAACCAAGCAAUGUUCCUAGGAUAUAUGUUUCAACGAAUCCUCGUGGUGCUGAAUUACUUCCUCCAGGGAUUA